rnacentral:rRNA from 1 species
AAGGUGGCCUGUGAGGGUUGCUGGAGGUAUCAGAAGUGCGAAUGCUGACAUAAGUAACGAUAAAGCGGGUGAAAAGCCCGCUCGCCGGAAGACCAAGGGUUCCUGUCCAACGUUAAUCGGGGCAGGGUGAGUCGACCCCUAAGGCGAGGCCGAAAGGCGUAGUCGAUGGGAAACGGGUUAAUAUUCCCGUACUUGGUGUUACUGCGAAGGGGGGACGGAGAAGGCUAUGUUGGCCGGGCGACGGUUGUCCCGGUUUAAGCGUGUAGGUGUGUGUUCCAGGUAAAUCCGGUUCACUUUAACACUGAGGCGUGACGACGAGGCACUACGGUGCUGAAGCAACAAAUGCCCUGCUUCCAGGAAAAGCCUCUAAGCAUCAGGUAACAUCAAAUCGUACCCCAAACCGACACAGGUGGUCAGGUAGAGAAUACCAAGGCGCUUGAGAGAACUCGGGUGAAGGAACUAGGCAAAAUGGUGCCGUAACUUCGGGAGAAGGCACGCUGACAUGUAGGUGAAGUGAUUUACUCAUGGAGCUGAAGUCAGUCGAAGAUACCAGCUGGCUGCAACUGUUUAUUAAAAACACAGCACUGUGCAAACACGAAAGUGGACGUAUACGGUGUGACGCCUGCCCGGUGCCGGAAGGUUAAUUGAUGGGGUCAGCGCAAGCGAAGCUCCUGAUCGAAGCCCCGGUAAACGGCGGCCGUAACUAUAACGGUCCUAAGGUAGCGAAAUUCCUUGUCGGGUAAGUUCCGACCUGCACGAAUGGCGUAAUGAUGGCCAGGCUGUCUCCACCCGAGACUCAGUGAAAUUGAACUCGCUGUGAAGAUGCAGUGUACCCGCGGCAAGACGGAAAGACCCCGUGAACCUUUACUAUAGCUUGACACUGAACAUUGAGCCUUGAUGUGUAGGAUAGGUGGGAGGCUUUGAAGCGUGGACGCCAGUCUGCGUGGAGCCGACCUUGAAAUACCACCCUUUAAUGUUUGAUGUUCUAACGUGGACCCGUGAUCCGGGUUGCGGACAGUGUCUGGUGGGUAGUUUGACUGGGGCGGUCUCCUCCUAAAGAGUAACGGAGGAGCACGAAGGUUGGCUAAUCCUGGUCGGACAUCAGGAGGUUAGUGCAAUGGCAUAAGCCAGCUUGACUGCGAGCGUGACGGCGCGAGCAGGUGCGAAAGCAGGUCAUAGUGAUCCGGUGGUUCUGAAUGGAAGGGCCAUCGCUCAACGGAUAAAAGGUACUCCGGGGAUAACAGGCUGAUACCGCCCAAGAGUUCAUAUCGACGGCGGUGUUUGGCACCUCGAUGUCGGCUCAUCACAUCCUGGGGCUGAAGUAGGUCCCAAGGGUAUGGCUGUUCGCCAUUUAAAGUGGUACGCGAGCUGGGUUUAGAACGUCGUGAGACAGUUCGGUCCCUAUCUGCCGUGGGCGCUGGAGAACUGAGGGGGGCUGCUCCUAGUACGAGAGGACCGGAGUGGACGCAUCACUGGUGUUCGGGUUGUCAUGCCAAUGGCACUGCCCGGUAGCUAAAUGCGGAAGAGAUAAGUGCUGAAAGCAUCUAAGCACGAAACUUGCCCCGAGAUGAGUUCU